CCCCCCCCCCCCCCAUCUGUUUGCCCGAAAUGCAGACAUCGACCCUAUUUAUCGCCGUUAAUUCAUCAUCGGAGUACAAGCCGCACCUCUUUUUUUUGUAUGUGAAUGUUUGAGUGUUCAAAGUGCGCUUAUACUCCGGAACAAUACGGUAGUCCAAGCUAUCAACCUGUUGUUCUUCUGAUCACUUUUUUCUUUUGUGUUUAUAAAAACGUAUUCGUGCUGGAUGCUUGCUGACUUGCCUGUUGACUGCGUAGCUUUUACAGGACAUCGUCGUGGACAACUGGUACAAUGCGUGUCAUGAAAACUCAACUAGCUCUGGUCUAUCAUCGGUGUCCAUCGCAUCAAUCUCCAUUGCGGGCGUGUUCUUCAUCGCGUUUGUUGUUAUGCUCCUCCUGCUAUUGAGCCGGCGACGCUCCACUGCCGGCUACUCUGCCGUGCAGGGUGUGUGAGCAUCGGCCAGUAGGUAUUUUACUACUACCUGGUGAGCAGCAGGGAGUAGGUAUUUUACUACUCCCGGUGAAGGCAGAGUAGAUAUUUUAGCUACUUCCUGGUGAACGGGUGGCGUCAGUGCUAGCGCAUGUACUGCAUAGAAUUGAUACAAGCAUCAGCAGCAGCAGAGCCGCUUGUCUUCGGCUCGUUAUCCCCAUCACAUUGCCAAUUAUUUUGUGCGUAGGUUAGAUGUGUGUGGUGUGUGAUUUUGCGGUUUCCGCACUGGGUACGGAAUGUGUCAUCUGUGGUUGUUUUUCGUGUUUUGCAGCUUCUCGCCAUUUUUAAUUUGUUUCUCAUCCUCGACUUGAAACUGUUUUUGCACAUUUCAUUUCUUUAGACGGGCCUUUAUACCCUUCCCCUCCCUGAAAAGAGAGGUUUAUAGUGUUAGUUAUUGCCCCCCCCCCCCUCCCCUCCCUGGGUUUAGGAUGAAUGCAUGCUAUCGCAACCUGGGGUAGGAAUAUUCUAGGUGCAAAUGUAAGAUUUGAUCUUUAUUUAUGGAUAUUUAGUAGUUGCAGUAGAAAUGGCAUUGCUGAUGGAUAUCACUUUCCUAAUUUUGAUAUCAAAUAAUGCAGCUAGCUGGCUGAGCGAACAACAGAGAGAACUCGA